rnacentral:rRNA from 1 species
UACGAAGGGUGCAAGCGUUACUCGGAAUUACUGGGCGUAAAGCGUGCGUAGGUGGUUUUUUAAGUCCGUUGCGAAAGCCCUGGGCUCAACCUGGGAAUGGCAGUGGAUACUGGAAAGCUAGAGUGCGGUAGAGGGUAGUGGAAUUCCCGGUGUAGCAGUGAAAUGCGUAGAGAUCGGGAGGAACACCAGUGGCGAAGGCGGCUACCUGGACCAGCACUGACACUGAGGCACGAAAGCGUGGGGAGCAAACAGG